UACGUAGGGACCAAGCGUUGUUCGGAUUUACUGGGCGUAAAGGGCGCGUAGGCGGCAAUUCAAGUCAGCUGUGAAAUCUCCGGGCUUAACUCGGAACGGUCAGCUGAUACUGUUUUGCUAGAGUGCAGAAGGGGCAAUCGGAAUUCUCGGUGUAGCGGUGAAAUGCGCAGAUAUCAGGAGGAACACCAAUUGCGAAGGCAGCUCGCUGGGACGUAACUGACGCUGAGACGCGAAAGCGUGGGGAGCAAACAGG
rnacentral:rRNA from 1 species